rnacentral:lncRNA from 1 species
AUGCCCAAGAGAAAGGCUGAGGGGGAUGCUGAAGGAGAUGAAGCCAAGGUGAAGGAUGAACCACAGAGAAGAUCCACAAAGUUGUCUGCUAAACCUGCUCCUCCAAAGCCAGAGCAAGCCUAAAAAGGCCCCUGAGAAGGUACCCAAAGGGAAAAAGGGAAAAGCUGAUGCUGGCAAGGAGGGGAAUAACCCUACAGAAAAUGGAGUUGCCAAAAAAGACCAGGCCCAGAAAGCUGAAGGUGCUGGAGAUGCCAAG